rnacentral:lncRNA from 1 species
GUGUCAUGUCACAACAUCGUCAUCGUGUCGCAGCGCGUCGUGGUGUCGUGACAUGCGGUCGUGUCACGACGUGCCAUCACAUUUGUGUCAUGACGUGUCGUCAUGUUGUAACAUGUCACAACAUGUCACUGUCAUCAUGUCGUGAUACGUCAUCGUGUCACGUCACGACAUGUCACCGUGUCACAAUGUGUCAUCGUAUUGUGACGCGUCAGCGCGUCGUGACGUGUUACACCGUGUCACUGUCGUGACAUGUCGCUAGGUGUCAGCAUGUCACAUCGUGCCCCGACGUGUCAUCAUGUCAUGACGUCUCGUUGUGUCAUGCCAUGUCGCUGUGUCACAAUGUGUCGUGACGUGUCAUGUCACACCGUGUCAGAACUUGUCACUGUGUCAUGACGUCAUCAUGUCACGAUGUGUCAUCAUGUCACGACAGUGUCAUCAUGUCGUGACAUGUCACCAUGUCACAACACGUCACUGUCGCAACUUGUGUCGCGAUGCCGCUGUUACAUGUCGGCCUGUUGCAACAUGUCAACGUCAUGACAUCGUGUCCUGACGUCACCAUGUCACGUGUCGCCAUGCUGCGACACGUCCCCAUGUCCCGACACGUCCCCGUGUCGCGAUGCGUCCCCACGUUGCUGCGGCGCCGCGUGUCACCGCGCCGCGUCACCGUGUCGCAACAUGUCACGACGCGUCGCCGCAGACGGAGCCGCGCAGCCAAUAAACGGGAACGGAUCCGGCCCCAGCGGUGGCCUGGGGGCGUCAGGGGGGGAACUGGGGGGUACUGGGAGCCACUGGGCACCAACUGGGGGUUACUGGGUGCUCUUGGGAGCCACUGGGGGUUACUGGGCACCAUUGAGCACCAACUGGGUGUUACUGGGAGCUGUUGGGGGUUUACUGGGAGUUACUGGGUGAUGCUGAGAGCCACUGGGGGUAACUGGAGCCCAAUUGGCACCACUGGGCAUUACUGGGGGGUACUGGGAGUUAUUGGGCACCAACUGGGUGUUACUGGGAGCCUUUGGGUGUCACUGGGAGUUACUGGGAGCCACUGGGGGUCACUGGAACCCACUGGGAGCCGA